CAGAUUACCUGAGUUCAAAUUCUGGCUUUGCUGCUUGCCAGCGGCGUGCCCUGAGACAAGUUACCUCACCUCUCUGUGCCUCGGUUUCCUCCCCAGUAAACCGGGAUGGCGAUGUUAACGGUACCUACCUCAUGCGGCCGUUUCGGUUAAUGCGUCGAAAGCACUCAGCAAGGUACCUGGCCCACAGGGGAGAUUAGUUAGCCUGUCGUUGUUAUUUGCUGACCACUCCUAAGACCGGAUUAGGUCUCAGCAUCAACGCAGGGACCCAUCUGGGCCACAAGCAUGUUUACCGUCUCUAUCGGCAACAGCAACAGGCCUGGCAGGUUUUGGAGGGCAUCCUGUCCCCCGAGAGCCUCGGUACCACGCCCGGGGCGCCUCACCCCAAUGUGCUCAACACACAGUUGCUGAGCACAAGCUUGCCUUCGCGGGAUCCAUUGAGCUGCCCUGGAGUGUUGCUUCCUCUUCCGUAAAGUGAAAUCAUUGGACCGAAAGUUUUCUAAGGCAAUCCCGACCUUUCUCCGAGGAGAGGACCGAAGCCCAGAGACAGAGCAUACCGAAACUUCACUGCACUCCUGGACUUCCGCAAAGACGGUCUCAUCCACGGGCGAUUGUCAAAAUCUGUGUUCCUUGCGGGGGAAGAAGGUAGAACACGCCUAUCCUGCUAGCUUGCUGACGUCACUCUCCAUACUCUGCUUCUUGAUCCAGGUGUGGUUACCUGAGGGUGUUCAGUUUGUGACAAACCAUCCCGUGUACGCUUACGAUUUGUGCGCUCUUCGUCAUUUCCUUACGUUUGAAUAAAAUCUACAUUAAUUGUG